UAAUUUGCUAUUCGGUGACAUAAGAGGGGGAGUGCGCUUUGCUUUCCCUGGGUCUGGGGCUAAUUCCUCCUCUCUUACCCAUAAACUCAGCAGAUCGAGCUAAAGCACAAAAGGGAGCGAGAGGUUUGAACCACUGGAAAAAGUAUGUUAUAUAUAGUAGGGUUAGAGAGGCAAGUAAGAGAGAGAGAGAGAAAAAAACCAAUAAACACCACAGCUCUUUCCAGCUAGAAUAUUAGGCACCACGAGAAAAAUAUUUGCCAAGCAGUUUUCGGACUGAAAGAAGAUGACCGUCAUAUGCAAGUUUUGUGUGUGGAUUCCAGUGUAGGACCACAGGCUCCUAUGACACCAUGAUUGAAUGCUGUUAAUAAAUAUAUGAUUGUUUUAUGCAUAGUGCAA